AUGAGUCGUCCUGAUGGCAUCAACAUUCCCGGUGUUAAGAUCUACCUAGGAGAUGCUGGCUAUGCAUGUCGCCUAGGUCUUCUUUCGCCCUCUAGGAAAACCUGGUGCCAUUUGAAUGAGUUUGUUGGUAGGAACUAUCCUAUGACUCUACAGGAGCUCUUCAGUCUCAGACACUCCAACCUUAGAAUUACUAUUAAGAGGGCCUUUGGAGUUCUGAAGAAUGGGUUUAAGAUUCUAGAUCAGAAGCCAUUUCACACUUUCCACACUCAAGUUGAGCUUGUUCUUACUUGUUGCAUUCUGCAUAACUGGAUCCUGUAAUGAGGGUGUGAUGAACUGGUGGAUGAGGAAGAUGUGACGCCUGACGAUGUUAUCAACUCCAGCCAUGGGUGGAGGUAUUUAACAACGAAGCCUGGAAGAACAAAUAUCUGA
rnacentral:rRNA from 1 species